UACGUAGGGGGCAAGCGUUGUCCGGAAUUAUUGGGCGUAAAGCGCGUGUAGGCGGUCCGGUAAGUCGGUUGUGAAAGUCCAGGGCUCAACCCUGGGAUGCCGACCGAUACUGUCGGACUAGAGUUCGGAAGAGGCGAGUGGAAUUCCCGGUGUAGCGGUGAAAUGCGCAGAUAUCGGGAGGAACACCAAUGGCGAAGGCAGCUCGCUGGGACGUUACUGACGCUGAGGAGCGAAAGCGUGGGGAGCGAACAGG
rnacentral:rRNA from 1 species